UAUUUUUAAAAUCGAUUUCAAAAUUUAACAACCAAAAGUAAUUUUAAGACAACUUCACUCUGUAGCUCCAUGGCAUAUUCUACCUUAAACCAGACUACACCAAAUAACAAAGCAACCAUCAUUGCACAGCUAAUCGGCUGAUUUCUUUUGACAAGCCCUGAUCGAAACAUUAAAUGUUUAUUAACAACUGAGAAAUUCGCAUGUAAGCUUGCCGUUUUUGAGUUUAUUACAUUUAAAGAAUGUUUUAUGCAUGAAAAUCGUAAGAUGAUCGAGUGUUGUGUUGUGAAUUGUUAUGUGAGCAAAAUUCAGUGGCCAGCUAUUCAUUUCUUUGCGAUGCCGCAGGAACCGGAACAGAGAAAAAUUUGGCUACGGAGAGCAGGACUAUACGCGGAAAAUCCAAUGCCUGAAAAUCUGGCCAAACAACGCCUUCAUGUGUGUCAAAACUAUUUCGAUGUAACUGAACAAUACGUGAACAAAUAACUGGAAUAACUUGUUGUUUGUUCUUGACAAUUAAUCGACUUCAAAAUAGUAACCGUGAAGGCCGGCAAUUAUUCACAAAGAUACAUUUUAGGUAAAGAUAUUUUGCCACAUAAGCUUUUGCCGUAUUACUCAGGUUGUGAAAAGUAUUUUUUUAAUACCGUUGGCGAGGAAAAACUAAGUUUGCCAGUAGUUGAAAUGAAGCCCCUAUCAACAGAAGGAGAAGUGAAAAUAACUCAGGAUAUUCCUGAUGAGAAUAUUCCUAUUGAGGAUAUUCUAGCCGUAAACUAUGAUGUGGGUGUUACAGAAAACGGUAAUCUGAGAGAUAAGGCAACAUUGACCGACAUCGUUAUUACAUUUUCCGUGGCCGUACAGUGGAGAGCUGUUAUGGUCAGCAAAGAGGUACAAACAAGCAGAGCCCUUAACUUUCAUCAGAAACUUAUGACGUCUCCUAGACAUACGUCUGUAAGUCCAAGAAGUCAUACAUGCUCAUCUUUGCUUACAUCAUCUUCCCCAGCGCCAACGUCCGCAAGUAGCGAGUACAUUCCAAACCAUCAAAGUGACCUUGAAUUUGAGGCUGAACUAAAUCGAACUGAGAAUAAAUUUCGAUAUGUUGCUUUUAGCAACAAGUUAAUGAAAAAGCAUCCUAUGCGAUAUCUUGGUGUUCCGGAUGACAGCCUGUAUGUAUUGGACGCGGUGGCUGAGGCCACUAAACUCAGUGAGAGGGACAUUAUGAUUGUUUUACGUAAAAUCAGAAUGAACGAGUCCUUCGAUAUACUUUCCGAUGUAUUCGGAUUGAGUUGUUGCAGAAUUUCUCAAAUUUUUAAUAAUUCCGUUCCUAUAAUCGCUGCGGAAAUGAGGUAUCUUGUGUUUUGACCAAUGUCCGAGAAUAUCAAGAAAUUUCUACCAGUUGCAUUUUUACAAAAUUACAGCAACGUAGAGAGCAUUAUUGAUUGCUUCGAAAUACAAGUCAUGCAAUACUGUGAAAUACUAAGUGUCGUGCACUCCAUGCGGGUUAAUUAACUUCAUUUCAAAAGGAUUCCCUGGGCGUGCGAGCGAUCAAAAGAUUGUAAACAAAUCGGGAUAUUUGAAUCGCAUCCGAUCUGGAAUGGGCGUGCUGGCUGAUAGAGGUUUCAAGAACGUGGCAUCAGAUGUUUCUAAGAAAGGUGGUAUAUUGAUUAGACCCCCAAGCGUCUCCAACGAAGCGUCUCUUUCUAAAGAGGAUGCUAUUCAUGCGAAAGAAAUUGCGAGUGUUCGUAUUCACGUGGAACGGCUAAUUAGACGGUAUAGAGAAUAUAGCAUGGCUGCCUCGCAUGCUGAGCUGCCAAUUCUGUUCUUCGAUAAAUUGGACGAUAUCAUCGAUAUCAUCACAGGAGCAGUGAAUCUGCAAAGUAAACUAAUCAAAUAAUCUAAACUUUGAACACUUGCACCAGAUUUGUGAUUUAUAUA